AGUGAACGCUGGCGGUAGGCCUAACACAUGCAAGUCGAACGGCAGCACAGUAAGAGCUUGCUCUUACGGGUGGCGAGUGGCGGACGGGUGAGGAAUACAUCGGAAUCUACUUUUUCGUGGGGGAUAACGUAGGGAAACUUACGCUAAUACCGCAUACGACCUACGGGUGAAAGCAGGGGAUCUUCGGACCUUGCGCGAUUGAAUGAGCCGAUGUCGGAUUAGCUAGUUGGCGGGGUAAAGGCCCACCAAGGCGACGAUCCGUAGCUGGUCUGAGAGGAUGAUCAGGCACACCUGAACUUAGAAACGGUCCAGACUCCUACGGGAGGCAGCCGUGGGGAAUUUUGGACAAUGGGCGGAAGCCUGGUCCAGCCAUACCGCGUGGGUGAAGAAGGCCUUCGGGUUGUAAAGCCCUUUUGUUGGGAAAGAAAAGCGGCAGGUUAAUACCCCGCUGUUCUGACGGUACCCAAAGAAUAAGCACCGGCUAACUUCGUG
rnacentral:rRNA from 1 species